rnacentral:rRNA from 1 species
GACGAACGCUGGCGGCGUGCUUAACACAUGCAAGUCGAACGGAAAGGCCCUUCGGGGUACUCGAGUGGCGAACGGGUGAGUAACACGUGGGUGAUCUGCCCUGCACUUUGGGAUAAGCCUGGGAAACUGGGUCUAAUACCGAAUAGGACCACGCGCUUCAUGGUGUGUGGUGGAAAGCUUUUGCGGUGUGGGAUGGGCCCGCGGCCUAUCAGCUUGUUGGUGGGGUAAUGGCCUACCAAGGCGACGACGGGUAGCCGGCCUGAGAGGGUGACCGGCCACACUGGGACUGAGAUACGGCCCAGACUCCUACGGGAGGCAGCAGUGGGGAAUAUUGCACAAUGGGCGCAAGCCUGAUGCAGCGACGCCGCGUGAGGGAUGACGGCCUUCGGGUUGUAAACCUCUUUCAAUAGGGACGAAGUGCAAGUGACGGUACCUAUAGAAGAAGCACCGGCCAACUACGUG